CCUACGGAGGCUGCAGUGGGGAAUAUUGGACAAUGGGCGAAAGCCUGAUCCAGCCAUGCCGCGUGUGUGAAGAAGGCCUUCGGGUUGUAAAGCACUUUCAGUGGGGAAGAAAGCCUUGGGGCUAAUACCCUCGAGGAAGGACAUCACCCACAGAAGAAGCACCGGCUAACUCCGUGCCAGCAGCCGCGGUAAUACGGAGGGUGCGAGCGUUAAUCGGAAUUACUGGGCGUAAAGCGCGCGUAGGCGGUCUGAUAAGCCGGUUGUGAAAGCCCCGGGCUCAACCUGGGAACGGCAUCCGGAACUGUCAGGCUAGAGUGCAGGAGAGGAAGGUAGAAUUCCCGGUGUAGCGGUGAGAUGCGUAGAGAUCGGGAGGAAUACCAGUGGCGAAGGCGGCCUUCUGGACUGACACUGACGCUGAGGUGCGAAAGCGUGGGUAGCAAACAGGAUUAGAUACCCGGGUAGUC
rnacentral:rRNA from 1 species